AUUGAACGCUGGCGGCAUGCCUAACACAUGCAAGUCGAACGAGUGGCGGACGGGUGAGUAAUGUCUGGGAAACUGCCCGAUGGAGGGGGAUAACUACUGGAAACGGUAGCUAAUACCGCAUACCAUCGGAUGUGCCCAGAUGGGAUUAGCUAGUAGGUGGGGUAACGGCUCACCUAGGCGACGAUCCCUAGCUGAUCGGAGAGGAUGACCGGCCACACUGGAACGGAGACAGGGUCCAGACUCCUGCGGGAGGCAGCAGUGGGGAAUCUUCCACAAUGGGCGCAAGCCUGACGCAGCCAUGCCGCGUGUAUGAAGAAGGCCUUCGGGUUGUAAAGUACUGUCAGCGGGGAGGCGGUACCCGCAGAAGAAGCACCGGCUAACUCCGUGCCAGCAGCCGCGGUAAUUC
rnacentral:rRNA from 1 species